rnacentral:snoRNA from 1 species
CAAUCUGAUGAAUCAACUUACAUUCCAUGCUAGUCCUGAAUCUUUAUGUAGAUACAUGUACAGCCUUUUCAUCUUUCGACUGAUU